AGUGAACGCUGGCGGUAGGCCUAACACAUGCAAGUCGAACGGCAGCACAGGAGAGCUUGCUCUCUGGGUGGCGAGUGGCGGACGGGUGAGGAAUACAUCGGAAUCUACCUUUUCGUGGGGGAUAACGUAGGGAAACUUACGCUAAUACCGCAUACGACCUUCGGGUGAAAGCAGGGGACCUUCGGGCCUUGCGCGGAUAGAUGAGCUGAUGUCGGAUUAGCUAGUUGGCGGGGUAAAGGCCCACCAAGGCGACGAUCCGUAGCUGGUCUGAGAGGAUGAUCAGCCACACUGGAACUGAGACACGGUCCAGACUCCUACGGGAGGCAGCAGUGGGGAAUAUUGGACAAUGGGCGCAAGCCUGAUCCAGCCAUACCGCGUGGGUGAAGAAGGCCUUCGGGUUGUGAAGCCCUUUUGUUGGGAAAGAAAAGCAGCCGGUUAAUACCUGGUUGUUCUGACGGUACCCAAGGAAUAAGCACCGGCUAACUUCGUGCCAGCAGCCGCGGUAAGAC
rnacentral:rRNA from 1 species